CCCAUAUAAAAACUGUUUAUGAAAAGUUGAAAAGUUCAUAUUUGUGAUAUUCUGUUUUAGGACGUGUGGAUUGACCUCUAUGUUACCGCAAAACACAAAUAGUCCCAUUGAGGAGGAUGGAGACAGUUAGUGGCUCAUGAAGCUCUUUCUGAAAUUGUCUUCAACGUUGAAGUACCUGCACUUAAGGUCAGCUGCUGAGCUGGAGUCUCUCCAUAACCGCAUCCUCGUGUAUGCCAGCAAACGCAUCGCCUUCAGCCCUCCAGUGUGUGGAGCCUGGAUCUAGCUGGCUUGUCUAGACCACAUGUAUCACGCCCACACACCAGCCAAGAGAAAGAAGACCUGAUGGCUCCACAGAGUCAGUCAGCCUUCACCACGAGGUAGAGGCUUAUCAUAUGAAAACCAUGUGAAGCUUCUAC